rnacentral:rRNA from 1 species
UACGGGGGGGGCAAGCGUUGUUCGGAUUUAUUGGGCGUAAAGAGCUCGUAGGCGGCUUGUCGCGUCGACUGUGAAAUCCCGCGGCUCAACUGCGGGUCUGCAGUCGAUACGGGCAGGCUAGAGUUCGGUAGGGGAGACUGGAAUUCCUGGUGUAGCGGUGAAAUGCGCAGAUAUCAGGAGGAACACCGGUGGCGAAGGCGGGUCUCUGGGCCGAUACUGACGCUGAGGAGCGAAAGCGUGGGGAGCGAACAGG